GCUGGCGGCAGGCCUAAUACAUGCAAGUCGAGCGCAUUCUUCGGAAUGAGCGGCGGACGGGUGAGUAACGCGUGGGAAUAUGCCCUUCUCUAAGGAAUAGCCUCUGGAAACGGAGAGUAAUACCUUAUACGCCCUUCGGGGGAAAGAUUUAUCGGAGAAGGAUUAGCCCGCGUUAGAUUAGGUAGUUGGUGGGGUAAUGGCCUACCAAGCCUACGAUCUAUAGCUGGUUUGAGAGGAUGAUCAGCCACACUGGGACUGAGACACGGCCCAGACUCCUACGGGAGGCAGCAGUAGGGAAUCUUAGACAAUGGGGGAAACCCUGAUCUAGCCAUGCCGCGUGUGUGAUGAAGGCCCUAGGGUCGUAAAGCACUUUCGCCAGAGAUGAUAAUGACAGUAUCUGGUAAAGAAACCCCGGCUAACUCCGUGCCAGCAGCCGCGGUAAUACGGAGGGGGUUAGCGUUGUUCGGAAUUACUGGGCGUAAAGCGCACGUAGGCGGAUUAGUAAGUUAAGGGUGAAAUCCCAGGGCUCAACCCUGGAACUGCCCUUAAUACGGCCAGUCUUGAGUUCGAGAGAGGUAAGUGGAAUUCCGAGUGUAGAGGUGAAAUUCGUA
rnacentral:rRNA from 1 species